AGUAAAGAUGCUCGUUACGCGCGGCAGGACGAAAAGACCCCGGGACCUUCACUACAACUUGGUAUUGGUGCUCGAUACGGUUUGUGUAGGAUAGGUGGGAGACUGUGAAACACACACGCCAGUGUGUGCGGAGUCGUUGUUGAAAUACCACUCUGAUCGUAUUGGGCCUCUAACCUCGAACCGUAUAUCCGGUUCAGGGACAGUGCCUGGUGGGUAGUUUAACUGGGGCGGUUGCCUCCUAAAAAGUAACGGAGGCGCCCAAAGGUUCCCUCAACCUGGACGGCAAUCAGGUGUUGAGUGUAAGUGCACAAGGGAGCUUGACUGCGAGACGUACAUGUCAAGCAGGGACGAAAGUCGGGACUAGU
rnacentral:rRNA from 1 species